UAAUAUGAAGGAAAAUCCAAUUUAAUUUCGACUUAAAUUUUUGAUUAUUUAAACUAAUCCAUAUUAA
rnacentral:tRNA from 1 species